GAGAGUGCAUGUCCAUCAAGGUCACGCUUGAGACUAGCAGAGGCGAAACCAGCGGGAAGACGACUUCGCCACCAAGGGCGGGCGGGCCUGCUGGGAUACUCCGGGUGAGUGGGACGCACUGGGCGGGGUUUCGCCGUUCCGAGGAUGUCGGGGAAGGGGGGUCACUGCCAGAUGGAGGUUCCGGUUCCGGUGCAGUGUCUGGCUGGUUGCGUUGCUACGGCAGCGCGGUUGAGCGCUCUCGUCUGUGUGAUCGGGGCUUCGCUGACUUUCCGGCCUACUUAAGCCCCUGGGCCUGGGCCCAGGAAGGGUUUGUUGAACCGGGAGCUAAGAAGGGAAUUGGCUCGUUCGACAGACGUUUUCUGCGCAGCUGUGGCGUGCAAGGCACGGGGCCGGUGCGGGACCUCCAGAGAGACCUGUGCCCAAAGCUUGAGAAAUGAGAAGCAGAUUCCUGGAUUCCAGGUAAAUCAGAGGAACAAACCUGAACAGAAAUAUACAGGAAGUGAUGUGAUGCUGAAGCUUAACGCUUAUUUCAGAAGUCUGGUAUCUGGUGCUCUUAACAGCAGAAACUAUAUUAUUUGCAAAAUCACCACGCUUUUACUUGUAUUAUAUAGUAAUUUUUUAAAAAAUAAAUAUUGACAAUUUGUUCUUGAAAGCCUGAAUUGUUUAUUGCCUACCCUAAACUGUCUAAUUCUGCUCUUGUGUCAACUGGAAUAGGGAAGAGUAUUUGCAAGCUUAAGAUCUGAGGAUCCAGGAGUUCCGUGGUGGCUCAGUGGUUAACGAAUCCAACUAGGAACCAUGAGGCCUUGCUCAGUGGGUUGAGGAUCCAGCAUUGCCAUGAGCUGUGGUGUAGGUCGCAGAUGCGGCUCAGAUCUGGUGUUGCUAUGGGCUGUGGUAUAGGCCGGUGGCUACAGCUGACUGAACCACUAGCCUAGGAACCUCCAUAUGCUGUGGCGUAGCCCUAGAAAAGGCAAAAGGACAAAAAAAUCUGAGGAUCCAGAGUUGUAGAGCUAGUCUUGGGCUAGAUCCUUUAAGCUAGUCAUGGGGAGUCAUGCAAGUAUUGUUAGACAUUUUGUUAAAUUGAGAAUACGCCGUCAUUAAAGUUUAAGCAUGAUCAUUGGGCCAGAGAAUCAAAGGCUGUGUUGUCCAAACCGACAGUAGAGUUGCUGUGUACAGUCAAGUAUAGUACGUUUGUCUGGAAUGCAGGGAUGUGGAUGGCAUCUCAGGGCCCUUUCAAGGAGCUAAGUGAGAUGGCUUUGACACCCUGAUCAAGGCCAGGAAAGCAGCUCAGGUAUCUAAACCCCCCAAAUAGAAACAACAGACCUAAAUUUAAGGUUUUAAUAAAACAACCAAAAAUGUCAAAUGUUGAACAUACUCCUUUCUGUCUUUGAUUUAAAAAAAACCACUCAUCAAGUAUUGGCACCAAACAUCAGCGAUUUAAAGAAUCAAGGAAACAGUACAAAAUAUUUCUCUCAAAGCGCCCAACUCAGGUAGAUGAUUUGGCAUGUGAGGUUUGAGUCUUCUCAUUAGAAACUAUAGCAGAAGUGUAGCAAAAGUUGUGACCUCUCUCAUGAGGACAUUGAUGGGAGGUGGGGGUGGGAAGUACACAGAAAUUUAUGAGAAUCCUGAGACUUGGAUCAUAAAAUGUAGUUAGACUCCAAACAAAUCAUCCCACGUACACAUGCUGACUGGGACAUUCUAAAAAUGUUUUUCUUCCCUCUGUUUAUUUAUAGAGACAGCUUCACUAUAUUUAGAAAAAUUUCUCCUUUCUACCCACUCCUCCAAAAGCAAAUUCACCAUGGAACCCAUAGUCGAGGCCUUGGGCAUUUGAGAUUGUUUCCUCCUAUGUAUCAGCCCUAAACGAGGAGAGCGGGUUGUUGAGCCUUACUCGAACCCUCAGCUGGUCCGUGUUUUCAUACCCUAGCUUUAGCCCCAAAAUCCAUGCUGUGUUUUGUUUUUGUUUUUUUGUUUGUUUAUUUCUUUCUUUUUAGGGCCACACCUGUGGCACACCCAGGCUGGGGGUUGAAUUGGAGCUGCAGCUGCCUGCCUAUACCACAGCCGUAGCAACACUGGAUCGGAGCUGCAUCCAUGACCUAAGCCCCUGCUUUCAGCAACAUUGGAUCCUUAACCCACUGAGUGAGGCCAGGGAUUGAACCUACAUCCUCAAGGGGACGAGUCGGGUUCAUAACUCACUGAGCUGCAAAGGAACUCCCAUGCUGGGUUCUGACAAGUGGGUGUGGCUAAUGUACAUGGGGACGCACCCCCAGAGAUGUCUGGGUCCUAGCUGGCCAGAGCACUGGGUAAGUGUCAUUUUAAGAGAAAAGCGGCUGCUUGGGUUGCAGGAGGGGUUGAGCCGCCAAACAUUCCUGAGCUAAAAUAGUCUUUGAAACCCAGAUUUCCAUCAACCUGAGCUGGAACCUGAGACCUUUCUCCAUGAUGCCCAGAGCUACUCAGUAAUUUUAGGGCAUCACUGCAACCCUGGAGUCAACUUGAGUCCCUAAAAAUGAUGUAACGGAGAGAACAAGGCAACGCCCAGCCCUUGGAGAGAAUUGAGAGACUUUUUGCUAGUCCGUAAUGCAAAGAUAGAAAUGGCUGUGGGAUCUCUGCUACCUCUCUCCGCCAAGACAGCUGGUUUUAUAAAUACUUCUCCAGCCACGGGAGUGGCCUCAGUUCUGCUAAUCCCCUACUCUCAUCACGUGGGCUCAGCCUAGAGGCCAGGAGGGAGGCCUCCUUUGGGCCCCCUUCCACUCUAUCACAAAGGUCCUGCUCUCCCGCGCAAGAGGAAGCCAAAUGAUACACUCUAACUUCGGUUAGUUCAGUCUAGAACAGACUGUGGGAGCUGCAGGUAAACAUGCAGUCCCGAAGAAGAAUUUAGGAAAAGGCUGGCUGCCACACCAGAGCUGGUUCUGCUCGGGGAUUUCGAAUGUAGAGGUGUGGGGCCAGGCUUCCAGUCCUAAGCAUCACUAAAUAGUUAGGAUAUCUCUGGGAUUUUCCUUGGAAUUUUCCACCCCUCACUUCUUCCCCUUCCUGAAUUUAUGAAAACUGUACUUGUAAUAUCUGCAAAACGCCUCUUUCAAGAUGUCUUUGUACAACAGCUGUGGAGUGGAGAUGAAUCCCUCUCUGCUCUAUUCCCCUGCUCCCACAUGUUUACCCCCGGAAUAUUGCCAUGCAUGUGUACUCGAAUAAUUCAUUUUAAACCUGCAUUAACCCCAGAAUAAGAGUUCUCAGGCAUUUUAGUCCCUAAAUUAAAUCCUCUGUUCACUCCCUCUUUGGUGAUAGUAUCUUUUUGACAGAUCUGAGCACUUUGGGUUCCUAAGUUUUAUUACCUUCACAAGCAUUUUUUAAAAUCUCACUGUCAGGAGUUCUCAUUGUGGCUCAGCGGGUUAAGAACCAGACUAGUAUUCAUGAGGAUGCGGGUUCUGUCCCUGGCCUCGUUGAGUGGGUUAAAGGUUCCGGUGUUGCCCCACGCUGCUGCCUAGGUCAAAGGCUUGGAUCCCUUGUGGCUGUGGCUGUGGUGUAGGGCGGUAGCCCUAAAAAGCCAAAAAAAAAAAAAACAAAAACAAAAACAAAAACAAAAACCUUUCAAAAUCUUAGGUCUUUUGAGAAACUUGGAGUAUUUCCUAAGGAGUCCGCCUUACCCCGUGAGGUAGGUAGGGGGCGCUCGUCCAUCUUACUUAGGAAGCAGGGGCACCUAGAGCCAGUCAGUGUUGUCCUGUCCCUGCAUUCAGGGCCUGGGAAGGAAUCGGCUGGCCGGAUUCUAGGGAGACUCAGUUCCCACCCAAGGCCUGUUCUUACUUUAGGGAAUGGUUUCCUUGCUUAGUUUACUAAUAUUAGAAAACAUAUUAGAAGCAAUAAGUUUAAAAGGCCAACAGAAAAGCAGGACGACGCAAUGACUAACAGGUUAGUAGGAGAUUUUAAAAAUUGUGAAGCAGAUAUUCUGGGAUUUUUCUUUUUUUCUUUUUAGAGCUGCAUUCUGGGAGCAUUUGACGUGAGCAGUAGCGAAGAGCUCUCACAGGUCACAACUCUGUGAGCCCUAGAACCCUGUGUAACAAUUCCCAGUCACCAAGAAAAGGAAAUGAUAUUCCACGUGCUUGGGUUAAGAAGUCAGUGUUAUUAGAUUGCCAACC
rnacentral:lncRNA from 1 species